GCCUGAUUUUUAAACAUUCAAGAAAACAUAAAAUAAUACUGUUUACAACAAACGUUUGUAAAUUAAAUUUCAAAUCAAUCUUAAUUAAGCGGAAGCAAUUACACGUUUCCUAUGGCAUCACGCUUCCUUCCUGCCCCUCGCCGGUUUGCCACCUUUAUUACCUUUGCCUGAAAAUUAAACAUAAGAAGGGUGAGUAUAACAAUACUCAGUAAGAGACCCUCUACUGGUCUCGUCAGGGGAAAAAUAAAUUGUUAAAGUUCUAUUGGGACACCCUGUACAGUCGCAGUCUUGUGAUCCCGUAGGAUACACAUUUCAGUCUAACGCCCCGAAGGACGUACAUAUCAGUCUGACGCCCCGAGGGACGUACAUAUCAGUCUAACGCCCCGAGGGACGUACAUAUCAGUCUAACGCCCCGAGGGACGUACAUAUCAGUCAAGUGUUCUGCAGAAACACAUAUCAGUCAAAUGCUCCCGAAGGUGCAAAAUAAAUUGGUGAUCCCGUAGGACACCUACAAGGUAAACAUCCCAAUACAACCUAACAAUUUAUCCCCUCAUUCCAUUCAACCAUCUUUCAGUUACUUCAAAUCACAAAGUCCUUUCUUUCAACAUCCUAACAGUCAACUUAUUUUACUACAAUCAUAUGUCUGUCAAUAAAAUACUAAUACAUCAGUCAAUCCACUGUACAGUCAAUACACCCCUCAGAUCACCAGCACACAGUCAUACUUUAGCGUAACGACACCCAAUCUAAACGACAAUCACAAGAUCGCAUCUGCAUCUCAUACAAGCAUAAUCUACAAUUUUCGUCCUGUCCACAUCCACACACAUAUAUAUAUAUUCCAUGACGAUCACAAUAUGCAUUCAACAUUAAGUCUACUUCAAUUCCUAUGCAUAUAUAUAUAUAUUUUCAGUCAAUCCACAGUGUACAUUCAUAAGUAUCAUCUCAACAUCUUUACUCAGUCAAAGAUAAUCAUUCAGACAUACAAUUCACAAUCAUAAGUGAGUCCAGUAGAAAACCCCUUACCUUCAAAUUUGUUAAGCUCCUUAACCACGUUGAAGUCUGAGAAGAACGAACCUAAACAUUAAGACAAUUUCUCAAUAAUUCCCUUCAACGCAUCAGUCAUUUAAAUUCAACCCAAUGUGAAUCUUUUUGCAACUUACCCAAAUCUUCGCGAAAGAAAUCGAGCAGUGGCUUUGCGAAGAGAUGACGUGCGACGGAGAGACCGUAUACAGAUGGUCGGAGAGUCGCGCGGCAGUGCAGACAACGGAGGAGAAUGAAUCGGCGGCGGCUGGGCUGAAAACAGAGGAGAAAGGAGAGGGGAGACAGCCGGCGGUUACAGGUUCACGCGGCGGCCUUGCUUCGCGAACAGAGAUGGCGGCUGGCUGCGGCGGGAAGAAAAUGGAGGAGAAAGGAUCGGCGGUUGGGCUGCGGCUGCGCACGAACGGAAGGAAAAUAGAUGGGCGGCGGUUGCUGCGAACGGGAAGGAGAACGCACGGGAGGAAGGAGAAGAAAAGAAAAAUGAGAGAGGGGUUGUGUGCGCGCGAGAGAGGGAGAGAUAAAUUUCUUUUUCUUUUCUUUUUAUUUAAAUUAAGUAUAAAAAUAUAUAUAUAUAUACAAAAUUAAAAACAAAAUAUAUAUAUACAUACCUUUGGGGCAUUACAUUCUUCCCUCCUUAAGAAACUUUCGUCCUCGAAAGUUCUAAUCCUGAAAUAACUCUGGAUAACGAGUCCUCAUUUCUUCCUCUCGCUCCCAUGUCGCCUCUUCAAUUCGAUGAUUCCGCCACAAAACUUUUACUAAUGGAAUGCUUCUAUUACGAAGCAUCUUUACCUCUCUAGCCAGAAUCUCCACAGGUUGUUCUACAUAGCUCAAAUGCUCAUCAAUCUCCAAGGGUUCAUAGUCCACUACAUGAGACGUAUCGGCCACAUACUUCCUCAACAUCGAAACAUGAAAAACAUUAUGAACUGCAGAGAGGGAUGGUGGUAAUGCCAAGCGAUACGCCACAACACCAACCCUCUCUAAGAUCUCAAAUGGUCCAACAAAACGAGGACUUAACUUUCCUUUCUUCUCAAAACGCAUAACACCCUUCAUAGGUGCUACCUUCAAGAAUACCUUUUCUCCCACAUCGAACUUAAGGUCUUUUCGCCGUACAUCCGCAUAACUCUUCUGUCUACUCUGCGCUGUUUGCAUACGUGCUCUAACCUUUUGAAUAGCCUCAUUAGUAGACCGAACUAAUUCAGGUCCCAUCAAUCUAUGUUCACCAACCUCACUCCAACAAACAGGGGUUCUACAACAUUUGCCAUACAAAGCCUCAAAUGGUGCCAUACCGAUGGUAGCCUGGAAACUGUUGUUAUAAGCAAACUCCAUCAAAUGUAGAUGAGAGUCCCAACUACCUGGAAACUCUAUAACACAAGCUCGUAGCAUAUCCUCUAAAACUUGGUUCAAACGUUCAGUUUGACCAUCAGUCUGUGGAUGAAAGGCUGUACUGAAAUCCAAUCUCGUACCCAUAGCAGUCUGAAGUCCCUUCCAAAAUUUGGAAGUAAACCGUGCAUCCCUAUCAGAAACAAUCGAUACAGGCACUCCAUGCAGUCUCACAAUCUCAGUUAAAUACAACUCUGCCCACUUACUAGCAGUAUAAGUGGAUUUUCCUGGUACAAAAUGUGCCGAUUUCGUAAGCCUGUCUAUGACAACCAGAAUCACUGUGAAACCCUUCAGGGUCUUAGGCAGCCCUGAAAUAAAAUCCAUCGACACAUUCUCCCACUUCCACUCUGGCACACUUAAAGGUUGUAAUAAACCUGCUGGUUUCUGUCUAGGUGCCUUAACUUGCUGACAUACUAGACACUUACUAACAAAUUCUGCCACUUCCCUUUUCAUAUUCCGCCACCAAUAAAAUCGUUUUAGAUCCUGAUACAUUUUCGUGCUACCAGGAUGCAUGGAAAAUGGGGAAUUAUGGGCUUCAUCUAGUAAGUCAAUCUUAACUGUACUGUUCGCUGGCACACAUAAACGUCUCUCAAACAUCAACCCACCAUCAGAGGAUAUGGAGAACUCAUCAGUCUGCCCUGUUUCAACAAGGCGACGUCUCUCCAUCAAAUAAGGAUCAUUACUCUGAGCAUCAACAAUCUUGUGCCUCAAAGUCGGUUGCACCGUUAAUUGAGCUAGCUGUGAGGUGACUCUCCCCACAGACACUGCAAUCUCAGCUCUCUCCAAGUCUCGAUGCAAUGGUACCUGUCUAGUAAUGAGUGCUGUCAAAAUGUGAUACUUUUCUACGAAGAGCACCAACUUCCACAUUCGCCUUACAUAGAUGGUACAAAAUCUCACAAUCAUAGUCAUUUACUAACUCAAACCACCUUUGUUAUCUCAUACUCAACUUCUUUUGAGUGAAGAAGUAUUUUAUACUCUUUUGGUUAGAAAAUAUCUAUAUCUUUUCAUCAUACAUAUAGUGCCUUCAAAUCAUUAAUGUAAAAACCACAACUGUCAAUUCCAUAUCAUAAGUUGGACAAUUUUCCUCACGAGGAGUACAAGCAACUACUUUAACUUGUUGAAUAAGAAUACCUUUUAAACUUUCCUAAAAGCAUCACUAUAAAUUACGGAACAUUCUGAACCAUCAUGUACGGUAAGCACGGGAGUUGUACAAGCUUCUGCUUAAGAUCCUGAACACUAUCCUCAUAGGCUUUGUCCCAAACAAACGGAGUCCCUUUUCUUAGUUAACUGAGUCAAAGGAGUAGCUAUACGAGAAAAUUCUUAUACAAACCGUUAGUAAUAACCUGCUGAACCCAAAAAGACUACGAACCUCACUGACUAUGAAAGGUUGAGGCCAACUGGUAACGACUUCAAUCUUUUAUGAGAUCCACAUAAAUGUCAUCUCUAGAUACCACAUGGCUUGGAAAGAUACUUGGCCUCAUCCAAAACUCACAUUUUGAAAACUUUGCAUACAAUUUGUUGACUCGAAGAGCCUCUUAAAACCAUGUUAAAUGCUCCUCAUGCGCUGUCUCUAUUUUGGAAUAAAUUAAGAUAUCGUCAAUAAAUACAAUCAUGAAAGUGUCUAAGAGAUCGUUAAACACUUUGUUCAUCAAGUCGUAAACAUUGUUUGAGCAUUUGCCCACUCAAAAGACAUCAUAAUGAACUCGUGAUGUCCAUAUCUCGAACGAAAAUCUGCCUUAGGAAUGUCACUGUUCUCUAAUCCUCAACAAGUCAUAACCUGAAUGUAAUUCAAUCUUAAAGAACACGGACUUAUUGCAGUUGAUCAAACAAAUCCUCAUUCAUUGGUAAAAGAUAUUUAUUCUUAACCGACACCUUAUUCAACUUUCUACAAUCAAAACAUAAGUGCAUCGACCCAUCUUUCUUCUUAAUAAACAAAAAUUUGGUGCACCCCAAGAUAACAUACUUCGUCAAAUGUAGUCCUUGUCAAACAUUUCUUUCAAUUGCACCUUCAAAUCUUUCAACUCUGUUGGUGCCAUUUUGUAUGAAGCUUUAGAUAUAGGAACGAGUCUAACUCUAUCUCAAUAACAAGACCAAUUUCUGUUUAGCACGGUAAUCUUAGAAACUCUUCUAGAAAAAUAUCAUAAUACUUUUUCACCACUGAUUCAAAUAACAAAGAAACAUCGACUUCUCUGGUGUCUACCACACUAGUCAAAUACAACAGGUACCCUGGUCAAGCAACUUACUAACCUUCAUAGCUGGGAUAACUUUUAGCGAAACGAUAGUUCCAACCUCUUUGUACUUGAAACUAGCCUCUGGAGAAGGAUUAGAAACUACAUUUUCGCUGAACAUUUUAUGUUUACAUGGUUAAACUACAUUCCAAUUUUCAAACUCCAAACUAGUAACUUUUCAUUCACGAGAAACUCAAAAUUGUUUCUUAAAGUCACAUCAAGACAACCAUGCUCAUCUUCCUUGUUUCUUUUCCAAUACCUCCAUUCUAAAACCAUUUAAUGUGUUUCGUAUAAACUUGACCGUGUAUUUAGUCCUCGUUAAAACCACCUACAUAACUUAUUUUUCUUAGAUUUCCAAUCACAAAACAGACAAUUUCGCUAACAACGUCUUACUUUUCUACUACUCGACCACUCCUUUGAACACCUCUACAUGGCAACAUUUUUCCUAAAUUUCACCAUUAAAUCAUAACAUUCAUGUAAUUCUAGUUUAACUUAGGCAAGGUCAUAUACAUAAACCAUACAUAUAAGCAUAAAGCAUACCUGACGAGAGACGAAGGGUCGCGUUAGCCAUAGAACACAAAAACAUAGACUUACAUCGUAAGUCAGUCUACAGAACCUAAAACUUAGGCUCUGAUACCAACUGUAACGACCCAACUUUUCUGGGUAAGUCAAGGUCGUAAAUUUUUAACAAAUAAAGACUUUGAUUAAUAUAAAACAAAACGUAAGUCAAUUUAAAAAAAAAACAUCUUCAAGUCAGGCCUGAUUUUUAAACAUUCAAGAAAACAUAAAAUAAUACUGUUUACAACAAACGUUUGUAAAUUAAAUUUCAAAUCAAUCUUAAUUAAGCGGAAGCAAUUACACGUUUCCUAUGGCAUCACGCUUCCUUCCUGCCCCUCGCCGGUUUGCCACCUUUAUUACCUUUGCCUGAAAAUUAAACAUAAGAAGGGUGAGUAUAACAAUACUCAGUAAGAGACCCUCUACUGGUCUCGUCAGGGGAAAAAUAAAUUGUUAAAGUUCUAUUGGGACACCCUGUACAGUCGCAGUCUUGUGAUCCCGUAGGAUACACAUUUCAGUCUAACGCCCCGAAGGACGUACAUAUCAGUCUGACGCCCCGAGGGACGUACAUAUCAGUCUAACGCCCCGAGGGACGUACAUAUCAGUCUAACGCCCCGAGGGACGUACAUAUCAGUCAAGUGUUCUGCAGAAACACAUAUCAGUCAAAUGCUCCCGAAGGUGCAAAAUAAAUUGGUGAUCCCGUAGGACACCUACAAGGUAAACAUCCC
rnacentral:lncRNA from 1 species